UACGGAGGGGGCAAGCGUUAAUCGGAAUUACUGGGCGUAAAGCGCACGCAGGCGGUUGGAUAAGUUAGAUGUGAAAGCCCCGGGCUCAACCUGGGAAUUGCAUUUAAAACUGUCCGGCUAGAGUCUUGUAGAGGGGGGUAGAAUUCCAGGUGUAGCGGUGAAAUGCGUAGGGAUCUGGAGGAAUACCGGUGGCGAAGGCGGCCCCCUGGACAAAGACUGACGCUCAGGUGCGAAAGCGUGGGGAGCAAACAGG
rnacentral:rRNA from 1 species